rnacentral:rRNA from 1 species
AACGAACGCUGGCGGCAUGCCUAACACAUGCAAGUCGAACGAGACCUUCGGGUCUAGUGGCGCACGGGUGCGUAACGCGUGGGAACCUGCCCUUAGGUUCGGAAUAACUCCCCGAAAGGGGUGCUAAUACCGGAUAAUGUCUUCGGACCAAAGAUUUAUCGCCUUUGGAUGGGCCCGCGUUGGAUUAGCUAGUUGGUAGGGUAAAAGCCUACCAAGGCGACGAUCCAUAGCUGGUCUGAGAGGAUGAUCAGCCACACUGGGACUGAGACACGGCCCAGACUCCUACGGGAGGGAGCAGUGGGGAAUAGUGGAAAGUGGGCGAAAGCAUGAUCCAGCAAUGCCGGGUGAGUGAUGAAGGCAUUAGGGUUGUAAAGCUCUUUUACCCGGGAUGAUAAUGACAGUACCGGGAGAAUAAGCCCCGGCUAACUACGUG